UACGGAGGGUGCAAACGUUGCUCGGAAUUAUUGGGCGUAAAGCGCACGUAGGCGGUCCAGCAAGUCGGGUGUGAAAGCCCUCGGCUUAACCGAGGAAGUGCAUUCGAAACUACUGGACUUGAAUACUGAAGAGGAUCGCGGAAUUCCCGGUGUAGAGGUGAAAUUCGUAGAUAUCAGGAGGAACACCGAUGGCGAAGGCAGGUCUCUGGGCCACUACUGACGCUGAGAAGCGAAAGCAUGGGGAGCGAACAGG
rnacentral:rRNA from 1 species